GGGCACAUGGUGUAGAUGGUUAUCACGCUCGCUUAGCAUUUCUUCAAAGAUCUGCGAGAGGUCUCCGGUUCGAGUCCGGAUGUGUCCA